CCUUCCUCCGCCUUGCCCAUGGCGGCAUCGCCCUUGAUGCCACUAUCGGAAUAAUCCCAUUUCAUAUUCUCGAUCUCCACGUCAUCCGUAGACAUUUUCAUGAACGCAGCACUGCUAAUAGAAAUCCAAUGGACAACAUUGCAGUUCAGUUCAAAUUUCAAAAAAAUAAAAAAUAAAUAAAUAAAUUCAAAACUUUAUUAUCUGCAAAUAGAAAAGUUCAUAAAGGCCGAUUGAUUACAGAACCCUAAAUGUCUUCAGUAUCAAUAAAGAGCUGAAAAACUUGUAAGCCAGUCCAAAUUAAACAUAGAAUAAACAGAUUACCUCUCAAAAGCUGUUAUAGAUUCUGUCAAGCUCCCAUUUCUAUCAAAAUCGUCGUUUCCGUUUACCUGCAUAAAAAUUAUUCUGUCUAAAAAAUGGAACCACCCGAGCUAUAAUAAACCAAAACAGUGAAAACCCACAAAGUAAUUCAAAUUCCCAAGCCCAAAUAAACAACAAAAAUCCUUUGAUUCGCAUUUUCUAAUCAACCCUAAUGGUGGGUUUUAAGAAAACCCUAGAAGAAAAAAGAAUAACAGCAAAAAUGAAGGAACAUUAGGCAAGAAUCACAAAUGGAUUUUAACAGAUCUGUCUAUAGAACCAAAACGGAGUCAGUAUAGACUAAAU
rnacentral:lncRNA from 1 species